GGGGAUAUGGCUCAGUGGUAGAGUGCUUGCCUAGGAAGUGCAAGGUACUGGGUUCGAUCCCCAGCCCUG
rnacentral:tRNA from 1 species